rnacentral:rRNA from 1 species
CCUACGGGGGGCAGCAGUGGGGAAUAUUGGGCAAUGGGCGCAAGCCUGACCCAGCAACGCCGCGUGAAGGAAGAAGGCCCUCGGGUUGUAAACUUCUUUUAUUCGGGACGAAACAAAUGACGGUACCGAAUGAAUAAGCCACGGCUAACUACGUGCCAGCAGCCGCGGUAAUACGUAGGUGGCAAGCGUUAUCCGGAUUUACUGGGUGUAAAGGGCGUGUAGGCGGGAGAGCAAGUCAGACGUGAAAUUCCAGGGCUCAACCCUGGAACUGCGUUUGAAACUGUUCUUCUUGAGUGAUGGAGAGGCAGGCGGAAUUCCGUGUGUAGCGGUGAAAUGCGUAGAUAUACGGAGGAACACCAGUGGCGAAGGCAGCAUACCGGCGCUCAACUGACGCUCAUGCACGAAAGCGUGGGUAUCGAACAGGAUUAGAUACCCCAGUAGUC